UACGGAGGGGGCUAGCGUUGUUCGGAAUUACUGGGCGUAAAGCGCACGUAGGCGGUGACGCAUGUCAGAUGUGAAAGCCCUGGGCUUAACCUAGGAAUUGCAUUUGAAACUGCGUCGCUAGAGGCCGGAAGAGGGUAGUGGAAUUCCCAGUGUAGAGGUGAAAUUCGUAGAUAUUGGGAAGAACACCAGUGGCGAAGGCGGCUACCUGGUCCGGUUCUGACGCUGAGGUGCGAAAGCGUGGGGAGCAAACAGG
rnacentral:rRNA from 2 species